GUAUAGCCUUUUCUACUGCCUUUUAAAAAGACAGUUUUUAAGAGCCUUUCCUCGCAUUUAAUAUGGCAGGUCCUUUAGCAGAUGUUAAUGGUGGGCUUGAUCAUAACUGAGCCUUUGUCUAAAGGCAGGGCUCAUCUUGCCGUGACUCCACAUUUUGGUUUCUGAAGGGAAGACUGCAGGAUAAAAGCUCACCAGAUCCGGCGACCUUAUAAUUCAAACCGAGAGAAAGAUUGUCCCGAAAGCAUUUGAAAACUCCGUCUGCUCUAUCAUCUUGGAGGAUUUUGCCCGAAUAAUGUGCCACGAUGAAAAAUGCACCGCCCCGUCGUGGAUCCUUAAGUUGCUGGUAUUGCACAUCCCAUAGCUCUUGCAUAGGCCGACUCCUAUCUCGGCUUCACUAAUUUGCCGUGUCAAAUGAGUGUGAUGAAAUAAAUUGUAAUUACACUGAAA